AACGUGCUGAGAGACCUAGACCAUUAACUCUAUGCCAAAGAAGGGCCGAAGUAUUGGCAAUGGGCCACCACACACCGGCCAACCCAGAAGGUUCUACAGCAGAUGGUGAGAAGCUGUAGUCUGCAAAAGAGCAACAUUCAGAGACAUUCUCAAGACAUGAUGAGGACUUUGGGUGUGCUUCCGCCAUAAAGC